GAUGAACGCUGGCGGCGUGCCUAAUACAUGCAAGUCGAACGCACAGCGAAAGGUGCUUGCACCUUUCAAGUGAGUGGCGAACGGGUGAGUAACACGUGGACAACCUGCCUCAAGGCUGGGGAUAACAUUUGGAAACAGAUGCUAAUACCGAAUAAAACUCAGUGUCGCAUGACACAAAGUUAAAAGGCGCUUUGGCGUCACCUAGAGAUGGAUCCGCGGUGCAUUAGUUUGUUGGUGGGGUAAAGGCCUACCAAGACAAUGAUGCAUAGCCGGGUUGAGAGACUGAUCGGCCACAUUGGGACUGAGACGCGGCCCAAACUCCUACGGGAGGCUGCAGUAGGGAAUCUUCCACAAUGGGCGAAAGCCUGAUGGAGCAACGCCGCGUGUGUGAUGAAGGCUUUCGGGUCGUAAAGCACUGUUGUAUGGGAAGAGCAGCUAGAAUAGGGAAUGAUUUUAGUUUGACGGUACCAUACCAGAAAGGGACGGCUAAAUACGUGCCAGCAGCCGCAGUAA
rnacentral:rRNA from 1 species